UUCACUCAAAGCCUUUCUCUUGUCUCGCUCUCUAACUAGAAAACUCACUUUUCUCUCACUUGCCUCCCCUUUUUCUUGCGCCUUACUCGUUCUUUUGCUCUCAUUCUUGUGCAAACCCUCACUAAACUCUCCUUUUACCACUCUUUGCUCUCGCCCUUCAUUAUUUUCCACACAACUCCCCUUUUGCUUGUGCACCUUUUCUUUUUCAUGUGCACUCUCACACUUUCUUUUUUCUUUCUCAUAUGCUUCCAUUCGGUCCU
rnacentral:lncRNA from 1 species